GGCAUUAGCUCAAUUGGUAGAGCGCCGCCUUUGCAAGGCGGAGGUCAGGGGUUCGAUUCCCCUAUGCUCC
rnacentral:tRNA from 2 species